GUGAAUCAUCGAAUCUUUGAACGCACAUUGCGCCCCUUAGUAUUCUAGGGGGCAUGCCUGUUCGAGCGUCAUUACAACCCUCAAGCUCUGCUUGGUAUUGGGCCAUGCCGGUUAGGCAGGCCUCAAAAUGAGCGGCAGGACUCAUAUCAGACCUGAGCGUAGUAAUUCUUUCUCGCUUUGGGGACGGUAUGGCCUCGCCAAACACCAUUUUUUUCUCAGGUUGACCUCGGAUCAGGUAGGGUUACCCGCUGAACUUAAGCAUAUCAAUAAGCGGAGGA
rnacentral:misc_RNA from 1 species